GACAGGUUGAGUGUAUUGGGGAUUAGUAAGUGAUAUUAAUUGUGGCAAUUGUUA
rnacentral:tRNA from 1 species